GCCCCCAUCGUCUAGAGGCCCAGGAUAUAGGAUUCUCAGUCCUAGGACCGGGGUUCGAAUCCCCGUGGGGGUA
rnacentral:tRNA from 1 species